GGUAGAAGAGUGUCGUUUUUUUAGUGAUAGUGAUACCAGAGAAUCAGACAGGGAUGGCAACAGUUUACCCAUCUCUUCUAUGGUGCGUGAUGCUGCUGGACUGCCGGCUGUGUUAGGGAGCCCCAGUGUUCCUGUCGGGCCAGGCAACAGACAGUGUGCUGAAGAGACAGCGGCGCCACAACACUGGGGUGUUCCAGGAUAUGUUAUUGGUGAACCUGGAGAGUGUGUGUCUGGAGGAAAGCUGUGACCUGGAGGAGGCCAGGGAGGCAUUCGAGAACGAUGAGAAAACAAUGAGGACCAGUGUAAGUCGCCCCCGUCUGAACCAGUCGUCCUGUGAUGACUAGCUGGGCUCCUACACUUGUACCGGUCUAUCAGGCUUCACGGGGAUGAACUGGGAGUAACAGCCAGGCAGUGUAAGGUGAAUAACGGAGAAUGUAUUCUGUGGCACCUAUGGGGCACAAUGUAGCUGUGCAGAGGGGCUACAAGCUGCCUCAGAAUGGAGUCAACUUUAAACCUGAAGAUUCUUCAAAGUAGCCACCCAUUGCCUCGAUGACAGCUUUGCACACUCUUGGCAUUCUCUCAACCAGCUUCAUGAGGUAGUCACCUGGAAUGCAUUUCAAUUAACAGGGGAGCAUAACAUCUAUGCCAAAGAGGGCACGGAGCAGGACCAUAAGGUUUUGAAGCAGUACAAAACACCCUCUACAACUCUUAGCGGAGUCUGUACAAUCAUGAUAAUCGCCCUGCUGCGCCUCCACACCCCCAUCCUCUUCUCCUCCCACGCCAGACCCAUCUUCCUGGGGCCCAAGGUAUUCACCGAAGACUUGGUGAAGGAUGAGUCCCCGGCUACAAUCAGCGGCUGGGGUCGCACACAUUACAGAAGGUAGAGGUGCCAUUUACAGAGAGGACGCAGUGUAAGGAUAGCAGUAGUGCCCGCAUCACCAAGUACGUAUUUCCGUGCCGGCUAUGCUGACGUGGCCAAAGACUUGCGCCGGGGGAGAGCGGAGGUCCCCAUACCAACCGUUACCAUGACACCUGGUUCCUGACUGGGAUUGUGAACUGGGGGGAGGAGUGUGCCAAGGAGGGGAAGUAUGGGGUGUACACCAGAGUGUACACCAGACUAGCAUUACUAUAGAUGGAUACGUCACGUUAUGGCGGUG